UCAGUUAGAUGACAAACAACUAAAAUCUAACACUAUUGUAUAUAAAUAUAAGUCAUAUACAUUUUUGAAAAUAUGCUUAAUGUUUAUAUUAUAUCACUACUGAUGUAAAUACGAAAAAAAAAAUAUAAAUAUAAAUGAAAGUAAAUAUCCGCGUGGUCGAUCCAAUGGAUCGAAGUACAGUUAACUAUUAAAACAAGAGAAUUUUCACUCUAUACACACAAAAUCCACUCUAUUUGCAUUCUAUACACAAUAUCCUCCAAUUUUCCUUCCCCCAUCUUUACCAAUUUUCCUUUAUUCUAUGGUAUCCUACUUAUUUCAGUAUAUUGAGCUAAUUUGCUCAAAACAAUUGUUGUGAUAUUUAUUAACUUUAAGACCACGUAGAAAUAAUUUUGUUGUGAUAUUUAUUAACUUUAAGACCACGUAUAGAGUGUGUUGUACUAUCUGGUUACUUGGCAAGUUGACAGAGUGGAUGUGUCCGGUCUGUUUGGAUCUUAACGCCACGAAACUCUCAGGCUUCUGUCUCUAUAUCACGUGUCUCCUCUCUCACUUUCUGAUUUUCAGAAAUAAACACUCAAGCUCAUAAGAGCAUCUUUAUCCUUGCAACUCAUUAUCGGUUGCUUAAUGAUAUUUUAUUAGUAUUUAAGAAAUAAAUUAUGCUAAAAGAUUUGGGUAAGCAACUUCAUUAUUUUGCUCCUCCAUUGCAAAUCUCUUAUUUUUGGUUGCUUUAAGUAGUUGUUGUUGAAACCAUACGAAGCCAUCUUCUGGAUAUCCGUCGGGCGUUACAAGCUCCACCUUACUGAAUCUGACCGGAGUGAAAAGCUGAAGCUAUAGAAGCGUUACCAAGAUGUAGCAUGUGGGCCCUAAUUAUAACGAAGAAAGAAGAGAUCUUUUUGUUUGAUCUCAUCAUUCAAAAUCUGAGAAUUAAUCGCUGCAGAAGAGAAUCAGAUUCUAUACCCAAAAGGAACACAAACCCAGUACAGAGAUAGUAAAACGAAAUUGAGGAUUGAUGAUACCGGCGAUGAUUCACACCGGCGAAGAAGAACAAGAAGAACAGAGGAGAGAUGAGAAAGAGAAGGACGCGUGUCCCUUAAGCGUCUGUCUCUUCCUUUGCUUAAUUAAGCAACGUCGUUUCUCUUAAAAGAUUAAAAAAAAAAAGAUCAACUGUAUCGAUGUUAGAAUCCACGUUGCAAGGAGAAGAGUGACGUUUUAAGCCUUCCCCAUACAACCGAUUAUAUUAUUCAGUAUGAUCAUAGUUACGCUUUUUUUUUUUAGGAACCUUAAUUCGAAAUUUAGAAUAUUAAAUACACUGAAUCUAAAUUUACAUAAAAUACCCUCGUUUUACAGA